UUUUAUUGUUCAUUAAAGAAGCUUUUGUGCAAAAAAAAUCAAGACAAUGUUCUUUAGAAAGCAACUGCACGUCCUCCCACACACGUAACUCAAGCAGGUCAGGUGCCACAUUCCACAGGAAGUGAGAAAACUGAAGAGAUUCCCAGCAGGAGCACAGGACUUUGCCCAGCUCACCCUGCUCUACAGGCUGCCAGCAUGAGUCCUUCGCUACUAAAAAACCCACAGGAAUUACAACCUUGACAGCUGAUAAGAGCAAGCGUCAAUCCACCCCCCUAAAAAAAAAAUUCAUGUUAAAGAGCAUCAUCCAGUUUAAAAAAAUCCAACGCCACACUGCGUGCUGUGGUGUGACAACCUGUACCUCUUCUGAGGCAGCCACGCUGAGGAGAGCCCAUCACCUAUCUGGGACACCUACCCCUGCUGGGACACACCACUGGAAGCACUGCACAAGCCUGCCAAGACAGAAAGAUGCGGAUAUUGUACACCUUAAGAGGACUUUUUUUAAAGCAGUGAGUGCUUCAGAGCUCUGUACACAAACAGGAAAGAUAAAUCUGUCUCAGUAUCUGUCAACACCGCCUGGACAUUCAGUAUGUGCAAGUAGUAAGAAAAAAGAUGCAGUUGAGUGUUUUUCAAUUAAAUUCCAUGAAAAUGAGUUUGCCUGUUCCUGAAGCCCUGUUAGCAGAGCUCCCGUCUCACCUGAGGCGCUGCACAAAGAGGAGCAGUUGCCAGCACGUUCUGAACAGGACUGGAGUUUUCAAAGCUCCACACAGCCCAGCUUCUCCUUCUCAGAGGACUCUCCAGAGCUACUCUGGUGCCUUCUGAGGAGUUACCUUGUUCAGAAUUUAGCACAGAAAGCCAAAAGGUCCGUCUUGAGCAACAUAAGCAUGAUUCCCAUCCUGAAAGCCCCUACCUCAACGCCCUGACUUGUUCUCAGGGUAGCAGUCUGCCUUAAAAGUCUUCUGUUCAAAAGUUCAGAUAAUUUCAGUGUGAUGCUUUCCUUCUGCACCACUGUGAAAGGCUGCCAGGCACGCCAGCAAAGCUGUAAAAUACCUGCAACAGCAUUCUCACCCUCUGCUAUCUCCACUUGCAACUUAGGUGCAUUUCCCAAUAGAAAUGGGAACUCUGGGGAAAGAAGUUAUACUUCAAACUACUCAGAAGGAUGAAUGUUACUGAGAAUGGGUGGCAGCAGUGGGAACUACCUGCAAGCCUAACAGUACCUCUGAAGCUUUAGAUUACUGGAAUAUGCCACAAGAGAAAAAUCGAAAGCAAGGAAUGAAACAGCAUUUUACAAUAAAACCAUCUCCCACAUAUUCUGCCCACUACACUGUACAGGCUUUCAUAUACAGAGCCCCUGCUGACUUUUUCACCUCCAUCUCCUAUCAAGUUAGUUUGCUCUACCUCCUUAGCACCAGGCUGGCUGCAUGUAGCAAGCUGUAUGAAGCAGAAUCGCUGAGCAAGUAGGGGAAAAAAAAAAAGGGGGAGGCAUUCCUUAAGUGUGUCAGCAUGCUUGGAAAGAUUGAACUAUUAUUGAACUGUUCAGGGCUCGACAAGAGAACACCCAUGUUGAAGCUGAGUUGUCCAAGGAAAUAAAAAGGAUAUGAUCUAAUAUUGAGGGGUUUCCUUAGCUAUGACAACACCACGAGUCUUAAGCGUGACCACUCAAGUGCAAAUGUAUCCUUUUUAUAUACCAGUUGCUUUGAAAGUUUGCUGGGCACACCAAGUCCCAUUCCCUGCAUCUGUAAAGCUUUGAAAACUCCAGCUGAAGGAAUUCCACGAUUCAACAUUAUCCCUUAGGGUUCCCCUACAGUAAGCAAAAAAACUAGUAUUACAGACAGAUGUUAAACACAACGUAUGUCAUCUUCUCAAAGCUGGCUACAGAAAAAUACUUAAAAGUUUACUCACUGUCUUGUUCUUUUUUAAAUUAAAAGAUAAGAGGCUCAUUUCACCUUUCAUCAUUCUUCCCAGCACCUAAAAACACUUCAGCCUACCAAUUAAAAUCUACAACACACUGACUAUUUUUAGGAGCAUUAUGAGUUAAACUGUACAGUCAGAAAUAUCUUUGUUAAGUCAACAAUGAAGAUCUGAUCCUCCAACAGCAGCACUGCUACAGAAGAGUUACAAUAAAGGAACUUGAAGGUCAAAUUGUUAAUGAGGCAGAGAGGAGGGACAUUUAAGAUACAGCUCUCCAGCCUCAGCCCACGUUUUUACGAGCCAUGGCAAACUUUCAGUACUGGAAAAUACUUCUUCUAGUUCCACACAUGACGUCUGCAGUGAUCCACAGCGUUGCACUGAGCAGCAGUCUCCAUAUUCUUACACCAGUAACCUGGACCCCAAACACAAGCAUCAUCCCCUAGGAGAGGCUUUUUAGCUGCUCCACAGACUCCUAGUUUAGUGCAAACAAAAGUGGGAUCCAUCAUCUCUGCCAAGAGUUGCACAACCACAGGUUCAUACUGUUCCACAAACUGAACACACUGAUCACUGACAGACUCUGGCAGGAAGUGACAGACUUUUUCAAGUAAAGCCUCAAUCUCGGUUGUUGUGGCAUUCUUCUCAAGUUCUUUGUCUGCAUAAGCUACUAUCAUCUUGCAGAUAUCACAGAAGCCACCUGCGGGUUUCACCACAACUGGCUGCUGUGGAGGCUUGUUGGCUGCACAGCAUUUCAGCAUAACACACACAGCCUCAGGAUUUGUUGCUUCCAGGAGCAUGUCAAUCAAAGCCUGGCCAUAGACCUCUAUGAAGUCCUUGCACUGGUCUUUGACACUUGCUGGGAGCAGGUAGCAGACGACCUCCAUUUCAUGCACAAUCUCCUCCUCUGUCUUGUUGCUCUCCAACAGGCCUGUCACUUCUUUCACCAUGGUCUCACAGAUUUCACACACAGAAAAAGUCUUCUCUUGAACUGUGGCUUUCUCCACAGUUUCCAUUUUCACUUCAUGAACCACUUGAGCUGGCACCAGAGUCUGAAGGGGAACAGAUUUCACAGAAGGACAGAACCCAACCAUGGCACAAAUGUCCUUUGGUUGCAUGUGCAUCAUCAUCUGGAUGGCCAAGUCAGAAUAUUCAGAGAUAUAGCUCUUGCACAUAUCAGACAUUCCAGGUCCGAGGCGGUCACAUUCCUCCUUGGCAUGAGCAACUAAGGACUUCACAAAAGUUGCAUUUGUCCUUACAGCUUCCUGAACAUCAGUAACCAGCCGAAUGCAGUCUUGGCAUACAUCCUCAGUUGCCUUUGACUUCUGCUUGGGUUUGUCUUGAGGGUAAAGCAGUAGAGGCACAUUAGCCAUGAACGGAGACGUCAGUUCAGAGAAGUCCAGUUCUGGUAUCUUAUUGGACUGGAGCUGUUUCUGAAGUUUCAUUGCUGCAAGAUGCUUCUGAAGGGACUGGCACAAUGAGAGGGCACUACAUACAACUUCAGGUUUAUCAAAUUCUUCUUUGAUCAUGUCCAUGAUAACUGGUAGGUAGGAGUCCACAAUUUCUUUGCACUCAGAGGCCAGGCCUUGGUCAGGAAGAAACUCGCAUGUUUUUUCCAAGUAAGAGCGGAUCUCAUCCUCUGUGCCAUUGUCCUUCAAAACCUUGCCAACCACUGUUACAAGUUCCUUGCACAAAUCACAGGGGAUGCUGUUUACAGCAGGCUUGCUCCAGACAUUCUGCUGGCAGUGUUUCACCGCUCCACACUGCGAUGCUGUCCGAAGACUCUGACACCAGACUUCUGGACCCUUUGCACAGUCCUUCUGCCACAAAACAGGGCUGGCCACAGCGGCCGCCAAGAGGCCAAGCAGGGUCAACAGCCGCCUCGCCAUGGUCCUGCGCCCGCCUGCAAUGCGGCGCUCGCGCCCCCGCCCCUAUAUCAAGGCUGCGC
rnacentral:lncRNA from 1 species